rnacentral:rRNA from 1 species
UACGUAGGGUGCGAGCGUUGUCCGGAAUUAUUGGGCGUAAAGAGCUCGUAGGCGGUGUGUCGCGUCGGCCGUGAAAACUUGCAGCUUAACUGUGGGCGUGCGGUCGAUACGGGCAUCACUGGAGUUCGGCAGGGGAGACUGGAAUUCCUGGUGUAGCGGUGAAAUGCGCAGAUAUCAGGAGGAACACCGGUGGCGAAGGCGGCAUCCUGGACCGACAUUGACGCUGAGGAGCGAAAGCUAGGGGAGCAAACGGG